rnacentral:miRNA from 1 species
CAACCAGAUCAGAAAGUCGA